AGGCACAGGCCAUACUUCUGCUGGAGCCAAGUGGUGCAGAGCCUGGGCCACUGCUCCAAGUAGCUGGGCCUCCCCACAGCUAACUAUCCAGAAUAAGUGGUAGAUAACCUUCCAACUGGUGUAUCCACAUCAUUUAUCAUGGUUGGGCCAGUUUGGAAGUGGAAAUGUCCAUAAGAUGGUGGUGAACAUAGGGUGGAAUCCAUACUGCAAAAAUACCCAAAAAAUCCACAAAAACUCCUACCAUGCAUGCCUUUAAGACUUCUGUGGGAAAAUCCUCAAUGUGACUAUCGUUGACUACCUCAUAAAGGAAAUUACUAAUCAGAAAAAAACUUCUCGGAUUCUUUAGAGUCACUUGUUUCAGCAAUUCACGGUGAUAUUGAGGAAGCUAAGAAAUGAUGUGAUUUACCAGAACAUUUGAAACUCAAAGAAGACAAUUUCUUCCAGGUUCCUAAAAGCAAAAUGAUGAAUGGCCACUGA
rnacentral:lncRNA from 1 species